rnacentral:rRNA from 1 species
ACGUAGGGGGCAAGCGUUGUCCGGAAUCAUUGGGCGUAAAGGGCGCGUAGGCGGAUAUUUAAGUCUGGUGUGAAAACCUAGGGCUCAACCCUGGGACUGCAUCGGAAACUGGGUAUCUUGAGGACAGGAGAGGAAAGUGGAAUUCCACGUGUAGCGGUGAAAUGCGUAGAUAUGUGGAGGAACACCAGUGGCGAAGGCGACUUUCUGGACUGUAACUGACGCUGAGGCGCGAAAGCGUGGGGAGCAAACAGG